rnacentral:lncRNA from 1 species
UCUCAUGGCACUUUCUAGGGGAGCCAAUGUUGAAAAGUUGCUUGUAUUUUCUCACAAAUGCCAUCUUGCAGCUUCCAUCAGGGACAGAAAUUAAGCAAAACCAUUACAUGACCAAGGACAAGCCGUGGUGUUUCAGCCUGACAGGUUUUGGAUUUUUGCCACUGAAACUGAAGAGGACCAGAUCUCAGCCAUUUGACUUCUGAGCAAUCUACCUUAAGAUUACCAUCGUUCCCUUCUCAAUUCCAGUGCAGAUGAUAAACAUCUCUCAAAUCAACACCAGAUACUUCCCUUAAAUCAUACAUAAAUUAAGUUAUUGCAAGGAGUAUGCUUUCUCCCCAAAACACUGAAUUUACUUUCUUUUUUUCUUUUCUUUCUUCCUAAUCUUUUUCUUUCAUGUUCCCAAACCAACUGGCUGAGGUGUCCCCAUGGGCUAUUGAUGGCAUUAAAGUGGACUGUUCAGCAGCUGUGCCCUACUGCCUGCCCUAUUGAUUAGUUUCUCACAUGGCUCUUAAUAGGUUUAUUGAUAUUUUGGAUUCAUUUUGUCCUGAUUUUUGUCAAUCUUCACAUUUUCACAGUCAGGUUCCAUUUUGCUUGAGGAAUGUAUGCAAUUAAUCUAGCUUUUAAAAGGCAUGAUCUUUCACUAAUGAUUUAUUCAGUGAAUUUGUCUACCCAUUUCUUUGCCUUUUCUACUCUUUCUUUGUUUUGAGGUUUUUUUGGCUCUCAUUUUGUUUUGGUUCAUGUAUUUAGAUAAGAUCUGUGUAUUAUCUGCUGUUUUAUGCAAACAAUCUCCAAAUCAAUUUUAAAUCUUUUUGUGCACCCCAGUCUGCCAUUAUUGUCAGACCAUGUUUUAAAACUAUUUUUAUAUUUGCAAUACAUUUUAACAUCCAUAAAUUUUGAAAUCCUUCACUGGUAUUAACUGGCAUAGGAUGAAUGUUGUUGCAAGGUAGCAGUGCUUUACUUCAGACAAAAAUUUGUUUCUUUGCCUUUAGGAAGAAAGGCUAGUAAACAAAUGCAUUCAAGUCUGAGCUGUUACUCAUUUAAGUCUUACUGUAGAGUAGAAAACAGGUCCAAUGAAAAUAUUUGUCCCUAAGAUUUCAGGGACUAUGGAAAUUGUGCAGCUUCUGGAACCUCUUCAAAAGACAGAGUACUAAGUGGGUUUACUGACUGCUGACAAAUAUUAUGCCACCAAAUAUUCCAAGUUUC